CCUACGGGAGGCAGCAGUGAGGCAUAUUGGUCAAUGGCCGUAACCCUGAACCAGCCAAGUCGCGUGAAGGAAGAAGGAUCUAUGUAUUGUAAGCUUCUUUUAUAGGGGAAUAAAGGUAUCCACGUGUGGAUAUUUGCAUGUACCCUAUGACUAAGCAUCGGCUAACUCCGUGCCAGCAGCCGCGGUAAUACGGAGGAUGCGAGCGUUAUCCGGAUUUAUUGGGUUUAAAGGGUGCGUAGGGUGUUUGUUAAGUCAGCGGUGAAAGUUUGUGGCUCAACCAUAAGAUUGCCGUUGAAACUGGAAGGCUGGAGUGUGUGUGAGGUAGGCGGAAUGCGUGGUGUAGCGGGGAAAUGCAUAGAUAUCACGCAGAACUCCGAUUGCGAAGGCAGCUUACUAAGCCAUAACUGACACUGAAGCACGAAAGCGUGGGGAGCAAACAGGAUUAGAUACCCGGGUAGUC
rnacentral:rRNA from 1 species